rnacentral:lncRNA from 1 species
UCUUAUCUUAUUACAACUUAAACUACAUUAUCAAUUAAACCUCGAUAAGAAGAAUAACUGAUAACCAAAUAAAUAAAUCUAUUUACAACUGAACUGAAAUAGAACAAUUCUAACCAUAACUAGCCUCGUAGACAUCUCACUGGAAAUCUCGCCUAGCGUCAAUCUUACGCGCGUCUUACACAGGUCAAUCAUCUUACCCCCUAGCUGAAAGGGUUAGAAAUAAUAGCAAGAGUGAGCGAAAAUGCUCAGCAAGAUAAUAUAAAAGGUAAGAGCCACAAGAUAUAAUUUGUUUUGAAUUAAAUCAGAGUAUUUGAAAUAAAGCAAACUUUGGAAGUAAAUCAUAACAGUUGUAACUCAAAGAUUAGCACAGCAACAACAAAGGAAGAAUGAGCAACUAGAAGGCUCAACGAUAUAUAUAUAAAAUGCUUAAAUGUAAAGCAUUAAUAAGUGCUAUUCUUCGGGAAGUAAAAGAUAAGGAAUAAUGGUCUCUCAUGGAAAACGAAAGCAAUAUUAGCUUAAGUAAUCAAAUUAUAAAUUUUGAUUUCAACUUUCACUGACGGGUGUACUAUCACAGCUGAUCAGCACGUGUAAUAGUACGGGAUCACACUUCGUAGAAGCAUGUCCUAAUUCACAGGUACCAAAUAUAAGGCAACACAUUGGCCUUUGGCAGAAAAGUAUUAUCAUAUUUCAAUAAUACCCAAAUAGCCCUUCACUGGACCGCCGUCCCGGCCUCUUACGCAAAAAUGUUUUAUUUUUCUUAGGGAGUUGAAUCACUCAACUCUCUCGAUCAACAAACUCGCCAUUUCACAUGGUCCGGAGUAAUCAUAUCAACUGAUGGCAACAUAACUAGAAUAGUUAGUUAUUUGCUAAUUAUGAACUUUAACUCGGUACUGUUUGGAGUAUAUCUGGAUAGCAUAGUUUUCCACUAUCUAUCUUAGAAGUAAUUCGAGAAUUCUAGUAGAAUGAUUACUAGAAUGUAGUGAAUUCAAUCAUUGGAAUGUAUUGAAUUCAAUCAUUAUUUGAGUAUCUGUAUGGUGUAUGGAAUAUUGAACAACAAUUAAAUCCCAAGCAUAUGAUAUUCUAUGAAUUGAAAUACAGAAUAUAAUAAUUGCAUUGGCAAUAAUUAAAAGUUGUGGAAUAAAUCACUUGCUCUUAAUAAAUAAGAGAAGAAUAGAAAUACUUGCCUUAACUCCAGUGUCUAACUCAGAUUUCUAAUAGUACUAUCUGCUGAACUAUUCCCUUCUGCUUAGUCUAUGACAGACUUAAUAGAGUAUCCAUAGCACAGCUUCACUUCAUUGGUUUAUGCCAGCCUCGCUCCACGAUACUAUUCACUAUUUCUGAACAUCCCAGUCGACUCUGUACGACAGUAAGACAAUACUUCAAUCGUCGGAUCAAACGAAACUAAUUACUAAAUGCUAUUAGAAUCUGCAACUAACUACCCUUCGCAUAUCCAUAUAUAGUAAACAAAAAAAUAUAUAUAGACAUCCACAUAAUAAUAUAUAUACACUGGAUCAGUCAGACAAAUAACCACAUAAUCAAGAAACAUACAUAUUCUAUCCAACUAUAAUAUAAUGCUAUUAACUGUCAAAUAUCUAUUUAUAGACAGAAUAAACUUAAUUUCUAAAGAAAAUUUCGGCAUGAAGUAUUCGUAAAUAGGACUAUCUCCCUGUUUUCAAAUCAAUCAAAUCAAGCUCUUUACACUAAAUAAAAUACUAAUAUAAAGAAAAUCUGCCUCGACAUGCAGUAAAUCACAUAAGAAAAGUACCCGCCCCGACAUGCGGCACCUAACACAUAAUGAUAAAUAAUCCGCCCAGACAUGCGGCACCUAAACACAUAAUGAUUGAAAGAAACUAACAGCUUAUCUUUAAAACGGAAAGUAAUUCAAUAUUAAUACAUUAUACUAUCAAGAAUAACACUCUAACAUUUAACACGUAGCACUUAGCAGGUAUCACAUAUUUCCAUACAUUUACUUACCACUUACCAUAAUACUCAAUUUAGAUACUUAAACUUAUCAUAUAAUUGAAUUCAAAUAUCUUAUUGGAAAAUAUCUCAAAUACUAGGUUACAUAAUCACAUAGCCCACGUAGGCACUUAGCAGUUAGCACGUAGCAUCUAUUUCCCUAACAAUGCUUAUUAUCACUUAGCAACCAUAUCAACAUAUUUCAACUAGAACACUUAUUAGGAAUUUUAUUCUAGAUGCAAGUCCCUAAAACAGAGCAUACUAUUCAAUUCAAUUUGCAAGUUGAAUUAAAUAAGCAUAGCAUUAUAACUAUUUAAGAUAUCACAUAUUUAUAUUAUUAAUAUUAUUAUUUACUAUUAUUACUACUAGUGAAAGUAAUAAUAAUAAUAAAGAAUAAUACUAAUAUAUAUUAAUAUUCGACAUCCUAAAAUUACCAAGUAAACACAGUUUCACACAUUAACAUUAAUAAUAAUGCUAUGUAGUACUGCUAUUACUACCAAAUCACAUAAAUAUUAUUUAUAGAUUUUAUAGAAAUAUCACAAAUCAGUAACUAUGUAAAUUCGAUUAAUAGUCCGAUAAUUAUAGGAUACGCCCCCGUAAAAUUUUAAAAUCUAAAUUUUAUUUAAAAAUCGGGCAGCACCUCCUCUAUUUAUCGGACUACCAGUCGAUAUCAUCUCGACACCAACAGUCACA